rnacentral:tRNA from 1 species
GGGAUGAUAGCUCAGUUGGGAGAGCGCGAGAGUGAAGUUCUUGAGGUCGGGCGUUCGAUCCGCCCUCGUCCCA